UUCUGGCCAGGCUGAGCUGCGGCCCCUUUAAGGGGGUGUGGUGCUUCAGCCCUGAGGAGAGUGCUUGUCAGCGUGAGUGCCCCUACGGAAGCCCACCCGGCCGGGCCAGAGAGAAGUCGUUGGCAGCCGCAGCGGCGAUGGCAGCGGCCCCCGAGAAGUUGGCGGUGGCGGUGGCAGUGGCCCUCAACAAGUCGGCGGAGGUGGCGGUGGUAGCGGCCCCAGCCAGCCCGGCCUGGCCACAGGGAAGUCAGUGGCGGCGACGGCGGCCCCAGCCUAGCCAGAGGGAAGUCGGGGUAGGCGAAGGGGGCGGCUGCUCGCUCAGAGCGAGUUUCUUUGGAGAAGCUGUGGUGGCUUCACUGUGAUGGCGGAGGAUGAGACAGGUCUCUGCGGCUUUUCUGGCUUUGCCUGCCCAGCUGCUCCAUGCCAGGAGAAAGAAGACCUAUCUGCUGCAUGCUGGAGGCUGGAGCCUGUGGCACCACGGCUCACCUCGCUGCAGUGGGUGGCAGUGACAGAGACUGCAGAGCGCCGGAGAGAUCUCUGCCCCUUCGUCCGAAGAGCCAAAAAUGACCAAGUCCUUGGUAAGUUCUUAUUUGUUCAUCUAUUUAUUUGUUACUUUCUUUUACUUUUAGUGGAUUUAGGAGACAUCUAACAAUCUCUAUAGUAAGAUGACAAGACUAGAUAAAUAAAAACUAAGAUCAGAGAAAAUGAAGAAGAGACUGUCAACCCCAGGUCAAGUUUAGAAUAUAUGGUCCGACAUGGUUAUGAUCUUUGAACUGUUAAAUUGUCUCUGAUCUUCCUGAAAGACAUAGCAAUAAUGGAAAUUGGAUACAUGGUUCCAAUGUAUCCAUGGUUCCAUGGAUAUUAUUAACAAGCAAUUUAUCAUGGUUCUUGAUGUUUGAGAAAUUUUUUGAGAGAUCUUCAGAUGGAUAAUGACAGAACAGUCUUCAAGAGUAACCAUGUUGAAAGUGCACCAACAGGCCAGACUCGGUGGCUGAUACGUGUAAUCCCAGCACUUUGGGAGGCCAAGGUGGGUGGAUCGCCUGAGGUUGGGAGUUCGAGACCAACCUGGCCAACAUGGUGAAACCUCAUCUCCACCAAAAAUACAAAAUUUAGCCAGGCGUGGUGUCGUGUACUUGUAAUCCCAGCUACUCAGAAGGCUGAGGCAGGAUAAUUGCUUGAACCUGCAAGUUGGAGGUUGCAGUGAGCCGAGAUUGUGCCAUUGCACUCCAGCCUGGGCAAGAGAAAAACUCUGUCUCUAAAAAGAAAAACAGAGAGGGCGGGGGGAUGGAGGGAGGGAGGGAAGAAAGUAGCCCAAACAGUUUUUUUGUUUUUGUCUUAAAGAAAAGUGUUUCUGACACUUUACUUGCAUUUGAAUUCAGAUUCUGAUUUAGUAGAUAUGGGAUGGAAUAUGAGUCUUUCACCCAGGCUGCAGUGCAGUUCUGCCAUUUCGGCUCACUGCAACCUCUGCCUCUCAGGUUCAAGCAAUUCUCCUGCCUCAGCCUCCUGAGUAGCUGGGACUCAGCUUUUUUUACUGAGUAGCUGGUGCCAUCACCUUUGCUAAUUUUUGUGUUUUCAGAAGACACAAGAUUUCAUCAUGUCGGCCAGGCUGGUCUUGAACUCCUGACCUCAAGUGAUCCACCCACCUUGGCUUCCCAAAGUGCUGGGAUUAGAAAUGUGAGCUACUGCUUCCGGCCUAACAUUUUAUAAAUGUUCUUUUUUUUUUUUUUUGAGAUGGAGUUUCGCUCUUGUUACCCAGGCUGGAGUGCAAUGGCGCGAUCUCGGCUUACUGCAACCUCCGCCUCCUGGGUUCAGGCAAUUCUCCUGCCUCAGCCUCCUGAGUAGCUGGGAUUACAGGCACGUGCCACCAUGCCCAACUAAGUUUUUGUAUUUGUAGUAGAGAUGGGGUUUCACCAUGUUGACCAGGAUGGUGUCGAUCUCUUGACCUAGUGAUCCACCUGCCUCGGCCUUUCAAAGUGCUGGGAUUACAUGCUUGAGCCACCGUGUAACUUAAUUUUUCAAAGUUCCUAAUACUUUAAAGAGAACUGGAGUGUGGGCUAGAACUUACUUUGGGCCCCAGCUUGUGCCGGCUUUAGAUAGCUUUAAAUGUUUCCCACCUUCCAUUACAAUGAAAGACAGGCAAACCUAGGCGAGGCCCUCCUGACUCAGCACUGCAGGGCAUCUUUAAAGGAAUGCAAUUGCAAUGGGAAAUUAAGGCAAGGAGCUGUCUCUAAGGCCUACAAAAUUAUUGAUAUGUAAACAGUAUAAAAGUCACUUGGAGUGAUUAGAGCAGGAACCAAGCAGGCCUAGAAACAUGUUGGAAACACUUGGAAAAAUUUUGUUAAAAGGAGAAGUAAUGUCGGGUACUCAAAAGUAUUAAAAUUUCAUGUCUUGUAAAGCUAGUCUAUACUUUGUCCUGACAGUCCUGAUUAAUGGGGAAAUUGCUGGGAUCUUAGUUUAUUUCAAUUCCUAGAAUCCAGAAUUAGCAUGCUGGAUAGGAACUUAGAGGCAGAUUACACAGUUCAACCCCUUCCUUGCAGUAUGAGAAGAGAACACUAAGGCCCAGAAGGACUACACCUGUAAUCCCAACAUUUUGGGAGGCUGAGGUGUGUGGAUCACUUGAGCCCAGGAGCUUGAGACCAGCCUGAGCAACAUGGUGAAACACCAUUUCUACAAAAAAACAGAAAAAUUAGCCAGGUGUGGUGGUGUGUGCCGGUAGUCGAAGCUACUCCAGAGGCUUAGAUGGGAGGAUCAUUUGAGCAGGAGGUUGAGGCUGCAGUGAGCUGUGAUUGCACCUCUGUACUUCAGCCAGGUGGCAGAGUGAGACCCUGUCUCAAAAUGAAUGAAUGAAUGAAUAAAUAAUAACUAGCUUGGUAUAGAAUUGAACUUCAAUCCCAGGCUCCUGACUCCAAGACCAGUUAUGAUAGUUUUCUAAAGAGUUUGGUGUUGUAAUCCCAGCACUUUGGGAGGCCGAGGCGGGUGGAUCACGAGGUCCAUAGAUCGAGACCAUCCUGGUCAACAUGGUGAAACCCCGUCUCUACUAAAAAUACAAAAAAUUAGCUGGGCACGGUAGUGCGUGCCUGUAAUCCCAGCUACUCAGGAGGCUGAGGCAGGAGAAUUGCCUGAACCCAGGAGACGGAGGUUGCGGUGAGCCAAGAUCGCGCCAUUGCACUCUAGCCUGGGUAACGAGCGAAACUCCGUCUCAAAAAAAAAAAUAAAAAAUAAAAUAAAAAAUAAAAAAAAAAUAAAAAGAGUUUGGUGUAACCCUGACAUUUUCAGUCAAGUUGUUCUGCAUUGCUUGUUAGUAAUCAGAAAAGGGAAUUAGAUUGCUAACGUUUUUCUUUUCUUUAACACAGAAAGUCCCCUUACAGAAUCCUCCCAUUAAGUGGGCUGAAGGAUAUAAGGGAGUAUUUAAAUACAGAAGUGCAAGCUGUUUCUUCUGUGCAUACCCAGGACUUCUGGUUUGAAACCUGGAUAAGAGGUGCUACCCAUAAAGAGCUAUUCGGUUGUGUUUAUGAAUCCACUGGUGAACAUUGAUGGGACGAAACCCCAUGAGCCCUGCCUUCUUCCUUCCUGGGACAACCACCUGGAGAAGUUCUUCACCCUCUGCCACUCCCUGGAGAGCCAGGUGACCUUCCCCAUCUGCGUGCUGGAUCAGAAGAUCAGUGAGAUGGCACUGGAGCACAAGCUGAAGCUCAGCAUCAUCUGCCUGAACUCUUGCCUGGAGCCGCUCGUGCUCUUCCUGCACCUGGUGCUGGACAAGCUCUGUCUGUGCAGCCCAUGGUCAUCGCUGCCCAGACAGUUUUUGUACAGACAGGGUUUCACCAUGUUGCCCAAGCUGGUCUCAAACUCCUGGGUUCAAGUGAUUGCCUGCCUCAGCCUCCCAAGGUGCUGGGAUUACAGGUAGGAGACACUGCGCCUGGCCUAUGUAGCUUAUCUUUGAAUAAGAGGCAGGUUUGUGUGACACAGUCCCCAGCUUGACUUUUCCGUUUGGCUUAGUGAUUUUGGGGUCCCAAGAUCUUUCUUU